AUUGAACGCUGGCGGCAGGCCUAACACAUGCAAGUCGAGCGGAUGAAGGGAGCUUGCUCCUGGAUUCAGCGGCGGACGGGUGAGUAAUGCCUAGGAAUCUGCCUGGUAGUGGGGGAUAACGUCCGGAAACGGGCGCUAAUACCGCAUACGUCCUGAGGGAGAAAGUGGGAUCUUCGGACCUCACGCUAUCAGAUGAGCCUAGGUCGGAUUAGCUAGUUGGUGGGGUAAAGGCCUACCAAGGCGACGAUCCGUAACUGGUCUGAGAGGAUGAUCAGUCACACUGGAACUGAGACACGGUCCAGACUCCUACGGGAGGCAGCAGUGGGGAAUAUUGGACAAUGGGCGAAAGCCUGAUCCAGCCAUGCCGCGUGUGUGAAGAAGGUCUUCGGAUUGUAAAGCACUUUAAGUUGGGAGGAAGGGCAGUAAGUUAAUACCUUGCUGUUUUGACGUUACCAACAGAAUAAGCACCGGCUAACUUCGUG
rnacentral:rRNA from 1 species